rnacentral:tRNA from 1 species
GGGCCCUUGGUGUAACCUGGAAGCACCCAUCGCCUGGGACGAUGAUGUGCCCGUUCAAAUCGGGUGGGGCCCA